rnacentral:rRNA from 1 species
UACGUAGGGGCUAGCGUUGUCCGGAAUCAUUGGGCGUAAAGAGCGCGUAGGCGGCUAGAUAAGUCCGGUGUGAAAGUCACAGGCUCAACCUGUGAAUGCCGCUGGAAACUGUCUGGCUAGAGUCCGGAAGGGGCGAGUGGAAUUCCCGGUGUAGCGGUGAAAUGCGCAGAUAUCGGGAGGAACACCAAUGGCGAAGGCGGCUCUCUGGAACG